CACCGCCUGGGGAGUACGACCGCAAGGUUAAAACUCAAAUGAAUUGACGGGGACCCGCACAAGUAGUGGAGCAUGUGGUUUAAUUCGAAGAUACGCGCAGAACCUUACCAACACUUGACAUGUUCGUCGCGACUUUAAGAGAUUAAAGUUUUCGGUUCGGCCGGACGAAACACAGGUGCUGCAUGGCUGUCGUCAGCUCGUGUCGUGAGAUGUUGGGUUAAGUCCCGCAACGAGCGCAACCCUCACUUUUAGUUGCCAUCAUUUAGUUGGGCACUCUGAAAGAACUGCCAGUGAUAAGCUGGAGGAAGGUGGGGAUGACGUCAAGUCCUCAUGGCCCUUACGUGUUGGGCUACACACGUGCUACAAUGAUAUCUACAACAGGAAGCAAGAUGGCAACAUUAAGCAAAUCCUAAAAAGAUAUCUCAGUUCGGAUUGCACUCUGCAACUCGAGUGCAUGAAGCUGGAAUUACUAGUAAUCGUGGAUCAGCGUGCCACGGUGAAUACGUUCCCGGGUCUUGUACACACCGCCCGUCACACCAUGGAAGUUGGUUACACCUUAAGGCAAAUUGUUAACCUUCGGGAAACAUUUGACUACGGUACGAUCAGCGACUGGGGUGAAGUCGUAACAAGGUAGCCGUAGGGGAACCUGCGGCUGGAUCACCUCCUUUCUAAGGAAAUCGAAAAUUUUUUUAUUUUCGAUUUAAAAAAAAACGGUAAUGUGACCGUCCUCAUUCCUCUUCUUUAAUAAUGUCUCUGAGUAAAUGUGAAAGGGGCCGGUAGCUCAGGUGGUUAGAGCGCACCCCUGAUAAGGGUGAGGUCGGAAGUUCGAGUCUUCCUCGGCCCACCAAUAUUACGGGGGAUUAGCUCAGCUGGGAGAGCGCCUGAUUUGCAUUCAGGAGGUCAGCGGUUCGAUCCCGCUAUCCUCCACCAAAAUUUGAGACAUUUAGCUUUUUUAAAUUGUGAAUAUUAUUAUCAAUAUCUAUAUCCGAUUGUUUUCAGAUAUAUUUUGAAAACAAUCACAACAAAAAUUUAAUUUAUUACAGAAAAGUUUUUUUCUG
rnacentral:sRNA from 1 species